GUGCCAGCAGCCGCGGUAACACGUAGGGUGCGAGCGUUGUCCGGAAUUAUUGGGCGUAAAGAGCUCGUAGGCGGUGUGUCGCGUCGGCCGUGAAAACUUGGGGCUUAACUCUGAGCGUGCGGUCGAUACGGGCAUCACUUGAGUUCGGCAGGGGAGACUGGAAUUCCUGGUGUAGCGGUGAAAUGCGCAGAUAUCAGGAGGAACACCGGUGGCGAAGGCGGGUCUCUGGGCCGAUACUGACGCUGAGGAGCGAAAGCGUGGGGAGCGAACAGGAUUAGAUACCCUGGUAGUCC
rnacentral:rRNA from 1 species